rnacentral:rRNA from 1 species
GAUGAACGCUGGCGGCGCGCUUAACACAUGCAAGUCGAACGAGAAAGGGCUUCGGCCCCGGUACAGUGGCGCACGGGUGAGUAACACGUAGGUAACCUGCCCUUGAGUGGUGGAUAACAUUCCGAAAGGAGUGCUAAUACAGCAUAAGACCACGGUUCCAUCAAGGAACAGGGGUCAAAGCGGGCCUCUUCAUGAAAGCUCGCGCUUGGGGAUGGGCCUGCGGCGCAUCAGCUAGUUGGUGAGGUAAUGGCUCACCAAGGCUAAGACGCGUAGCUGGUCUGAGAGGGUGACCGGCCACACUGGGACUGAGACACGGCCCAGACUCCUACGGGGGGCAGCAGUGGGGGAUCUUGCACAAUGGGCGAAAGCCUGAUGCAGCGACGCCGCGUGAGCGAAGAAGGCCUUCGGUUGUAAAGCUCUGUCUGGAGGGACGAACGAAAAUAGACGGUACCUCCGGACGGAAGCCACGGCUAACUACGUGCCAGCAGCCGCGGUAAACUACG